ACUGUCCCCAGAGGUGGUGCAGAUGCGGCUGCUGUGUCACAUGUGUGGCAGUGGGUAACAGAGAGGAGAGAGGCUACGCCUAUGCUCCGUGUUCUGACCUCUGAACAUCUCUUUAGUAGCCUAACACU